ACAUGGCGGCGUCCAUGUUAUCAAAAUUGUUGAAAGUCUGUUGAAAUCUCUGCAAUAAAUAUUUACUGCAAUUGACAAAAGGGAACGAGCUCUACACAAGUGCUAGAUGGCGGAGGCCGACAAGACAGAAUGCAAGGCUAUGGAGGCUGAUAUCAAGCGACUGCUGAACUUGUCGGGGACAGGAGGCAAAGAUGAUCACUCUGGGUCGGCCACUCCUGCGGGAAGUAAACAGAUUAUAGUCACCAAGGAAGAUCUUGCUAAUAUUCAUACACAUAAGGCAGAGAAAAAGAAGAACAAACCAAACAAGAAGACAGUGGAGGAGAAAACAAAACAGCCGGACACCAAGACUCCUGAAGCAAAUACCACAGAUGGGAAUCAAGCUGCUGUGGUCACCAAAGAAGGUGAAAAGAAACAGAAAAAGAAGAAGAACAGAAAUAGGGCACGAGGGAAGAAACAGCCUCAGAGCGAGUUCUUUGGGAAAAAGAAAGUUCAGAAUGAGAAUGUAUCAGAAUCUGAAGACAGUGACAGUGGGUCUGAUCAAGCUCCGCCCCCGAAGGCAGAGAAGUUCAACCUUGACUUCAUAAGGAUGAAAUACCUAGAUGAUAAACUGACACCUGCCAUUUUGAAUGAACUGGAAAAAGAAAGGAUAUUCCCACUGAAGAAGAAAUCACUGAAAUUUGCACAUGCAAAGUACUUCUGUCGCCUGUGUGACUAUCACUGUGACAAUGUGCCGUUGUGUCGACAACAUGCGCAGGAUGCGAGACACAGGAGAAGGAAAGAGAUCAGGGUACAGGACCAGAAGCUGAAGAAGUUACCGACACCGUCUGCCCGUCACAUCACCGCUCUGGACAACCUUGUGGAAACAUUGUAUUCUGAAUACGGGCUCUCAUCAGCCGAUCUCGUUCAGCGUCAUAUUGUUGCCUUGAAGAUACAGGAUUUCAUCAUGAAACACAUCAAAGAUGUGAAACUCCAAGUGUAUGGCUCGUCCCUGACGGGGUUUGGGUUGAAGGGCGCGACCCUUGACCUAGAUCUUCUCUUCCCGGAGAAGGGAAACCCUGCCAAUUACUUAGUUCAAGUGUAUGAUCUCCUGAAAGCUUCUGACACAUUUGAUGAAGUAAAGAGUCACUUCCAGUCCAAGGUUCCAGCAGUGACGUUCCUGUCCCCAUGUAAGACCCUUAACUGUCAGAUAACAGUUGGAACUGGUGCUGCAGUCAUGACAAGUAGAUAUCUUGCCAUCUACCGAGAACUGGACGAACGGUGUAGGAAACUGGCAAUAGUUUUCAAGCACUGGGCCAAGGUAUGUGAAGUGGAUUGUCAAGAGGCCGGGUCCCUGCCUGCGUAUGUUUACAGUAUGAUGACAAUCUUCUACCUACAGCAGUGCUCCACCCCUGUGCUGCCUGUUCUCUGGAAGGAUUUAACAGAGAGUGCCUUGAAAAGACCAAAGACUGCUGCAGACGAGCAAGCCAUGUUAUCCGAGUUGAAGCAGCAACCAUGGACCAGCAAUAAUGAGCUCUCUGUUGGUGCUCUCUGGCGGGACAUGAUCCUGUUCUAUGGUUUACACUUUGAUCUCAGUGAACACAUCAUCUGCGUACGAUCAAGCAAGUUGCUUACACGCAUGGAAAAGAAAUGGAAGAGCAAACGUGUUGCAAUUGAAGACCCAUUUUCACCAAAGAGGAACGCUGGACGGAGCAUGUACAACACACGUAUCUUUGACUACUUCUACAACUGCCUGCGCAAGGCCUGUCUGUACUUCAGCCUGCCAACUUCUCACCAGAACAUGGAAAACUACUACAAAGAUCGCAGACACACUACAUACACUCAAAAAGACAAAGAGAAAAUGGCAGCAGAGCAGACUAGGUUGACUAGUCCAAAAAAUAUUAAUGCUGAUACACGAGCUGAAGUUAAGAAUGGUGGAACUGCAGAGCCUAUGAAAGUUGAAUUGGAAGAUUUAAGUGAAGAAACACCUUUUUCCAGGUUAAUGUCUGUUGGGUGUGAAGAAGGGGAUGAUAUGGUUAAACUGAAAGAAAGUGAUAAAGGAGUGGAAGCUGAUAAGGGCGUGAAUAGGGAUAAUGAUGUAGACACUGUAAGCAGUGAUGCUUUAAAAGAUAAACUGGAAGAAUUGACUAGUAGUACAGAAGUGAGUAGUGACCAGGGCAUUCCAGAAAAUGAAUUCUUUCUAGCUUGCAAGCAGGGACUGGUUAAAAAUGUCUCUGAGUUUGAAGAUACCAGUUCAUUGGAUGAAACUGACAAAGUUUCUGAGGUAACUAGUGAAGUAGAAAAACUUAAGGUUGCUGAUAGUGAUGCGGCCAUAAUAAAGGAUGUAGGAAUUGAUAGUUCUGCAUGUGGUACUAAAUGUGAUGAAUUAGGUGAAGAUGAUAAUGACAAUCCUAAGUGCUCUUCAGGUGAAAAUGCAUUUCUCCCACCAGCUAAAAGUGUAAAUAAUGGAACUGUUGAUGCAAAAGUGCCUGGAAAUGAAGUCAGCAAUGUGAUAGAUACAAUUAUCUUAAAGAUUGAAGCUAGUGGUGAUGAGUUGAUGCAGAGGUUAAGAAAAUCAGCAAAGGAUGAUCGGACAAGCAGUGGUAGCGACAGUGAAAGUAAUAGUAGUAGCGGUGAUGGUGAUGACGAUUUGCAGCAGGAAUCUCCAGAUUCCAGUCCUUUGGCGAACAGAAGGCCACGAGUAUCUAGUCCUGCUGGUGCAGAGUAUGACUUCGAGUUUACCGCGGGCACACUUACAGACGGCAAAGGUCCAUCAGUAUUCUGUGCCAUCUGUGAAAAGGAGGGUCAUCUAAAAUCUGUCUGCCCAGAAGACCAGUUACCUCCCAUAAUUAAGCUUUCCCCACCCACUAAAGCACACCUGGAGUUACUCUCAGCUGUCAUAAAACAGGUGCCCAGGGAUUUCCAGCUGAGUCCCUCCGAAAUUCAGGAACGAGACGCCAUACGGAGAAACCUGGAGUACCACAUCAAGCAGACAUUCCAAGAAGCUGAGCUGAAGCUGUUUGGGUCGUCCAUGAAUGGGUUUGGUUUCCACCAGAGUGACCUUGACAUUUGUGUCACCUUCAAAGGGAAAAACCCAGAGGAUCUCAACUUUGUGGAGUACAUUGAGGCCAUUUGUAAGAAGUUAAAGACCCAUCGAGACCUGUACGGUGUAUUCCCAAUAACAACCGCUAAAGUCCCGAUUGUGAAGUUCAAGCAUCGAGCAUCACAAUUGGAGGGAGAUAUUAGCUUGUAUAAUAUACUGGCACUUCAGAACACAGCCCUGUUGUUAGCAUACUCGAAUAUCGACCCCCGUGUCCAGAUCUUAGGCUAUGCUGUGAAGGUGUUUGCCAAGGUGUGCGAAAUCGGGGACGCGUCACGCGGAAGUCUCUCCUCGUAUGCUUACAUGCUCAUGAUGGUCCACUACCUCCAGCACACAAACCCACCAGUUAUACCAGUCCUUCAGGAGCUGAGGUUACCAGAUGAACCUGACAAAGAAUUAAUUGUGGAAGGCUGGAACACCUGGUUCUUUAACAACCUUGACAUGCUGCCCCAGGUAUGGCCUGGCUACAGCAAGAAUAUCGCGAGUGUUGGAGAACUGUGGCUUGGCUUCUUCCGCUAUUUCCUGGAAGAAUUCAACCUUACAGAACAAGUGGUCACCAUCAGACAGUUUAGGACACUCAGCAAGUUUGAGAAACUUUGGAACGGGAAAUGUAUUGCCAUUGAAGAUCCGUUUGAUUUGAAUCACAAUCUUGGAGGAGCCCUUUCAAGAAAAAUGAACCAGUACAUUGUCAGCACCCUGGUCCAUGCUCGGGAACUUUAUGGAAAGUCCCUGGACCUAAACAACAGCAUAACUAAACAGGAUAUACAGGGAUUCCAGGAUUUCUUCUUCGACCGUCAGCAGUUGGUGGUAGGUGACCCUCCAUCUGACCGUCUGUGCCGCGUGUGUAGCAAGAUUGGUCAUAUCGCAAAGGAGUGCCCACGUCUUAUCGCUCGCAAAGAAAGGGAGGCCAAUGAGAGGAGACGGCGUGAGGAACAAAGAAAUGUAGAGAAGGAAGGGGGGCAGUCUGCCACGCCGAAUAACACGAGACACUCCGGCAAUUCUGGCAUGCACCGAUCCAUGUCUGAGCCCAGUACCAACCCAGCCCAUGAAAGCCCACAAGGGCGUCACACUGGGAGCCCACAUAGGGGUCAUGGUCAUCAAGGCAGACACCAACAUUCAUAUAGUCAGUCACCAGAUAAAAGGGAUAGACCUAGGCCUUUGUUAGGUAUGCCCACCCCCGAAAAGUUCAGAGGUCCUAAUUCUGCCUCUCCUAGCUCACCUCACAGUCCCAGAUGGCAAAACCAAUCCGAUCAGGGCUAUUAUAGAGAUCCUCUUAAUUCUGGCCAAUCAAAUCAGGGUUACUCAAGAGAAUAUCCAAACACUGGCCAAUCAAAUCAAUCCUAUCAGAGAGGGAACCAGAAUGAAAAUUCAUCUGGAAGAAGAUACCCAAUCCACCCAAACCACAGGAACAGUGGUCCAAAGUUUUAUAGUAAUCAGAGUUAUGAUCGUCAACGUGGGGAUGCUGGUUACUACAACCAUCCAAGAGAUACAGGGAGAUCGACAAACUACUCUCCAUCUUCUCCAGGGCAACAGCAUAGGGAAGAUUUGCCCAGCAAGCAGCAUUAUGAGGGUAAUCAACAGGUUGCCAAUUAAUAUGGCGGAAGGGACUAUGCCUCACAAUAACAUGGCUUUUAACAGAUCGUUCAGUCCUGAAAAAAACAUGUAUCCCUUGGAGUACUUGGGGACAUGUACAAGUCAGCCGGUAGACAGGAACGGCAACAGUCUGUCUGCAAACUUACAGGGAGGAGUAGAUCUCCAUAUACCAAAACAAAUGAAUAACAGUCACACAGAUGGGUAUUAUUCACAUUCUGGGCCCCAAACGCGAGAGGGAGGUGAAUAUCCCACGGAAUCGCAACAAGGACCCAGCAGAUAUGGGAAUAACAGUGCGAAAUGAGUUCUACAAGAACUGAUAUGGCUUACUUACUAAGAGGACGAAUAACUGUAUCAGGAAAUGUCUUCUGUUUUGGAUGAUGUUGCAGCAAUUACAAUGGUGGACACAUUUUCUCAAAAACUGCAGUGUAAAUUACACGAGUAAAGGGUGGAGGUGGGGGAUUGCACAAUAUUUAUUUUUACGGAAUCUUUUCAAAUUACAUUUGUCUUUUAACAUUCUACAAUACUAGACUCUUGUCAAAAUUUUGACACUCAAAACAUGUAUGUUACUUUUUAAUUAGUAAAAGUGAUAAUAAUAGUUUUGAAAAGGUAUAAUCAAACAUAUCACUUUAAGUUGUUUUAAAAUCAUAACGAUUUUAUUAUAUCCAUUCUUUUGCAAAUUGAUCAGGUCACAUAUUUCAAACCUGAUGAAAUUCACUGUUGGUGUCUGAUGGUGAAAUAGGGAAUCCAAUAAUAUUUGCGAAAACCAGAAAAUGGCAAAAAGACCACGGGGAUAUUGAAGUUCUCCACCUUUAACUAUGGGCAUAUUUAUAUUUUUAAAAGUAAUGAUAUUGCAUUGUGUAUUGUAGAGAUUAUCUGGAUUAAAGGUUGUGUCUCACAGAGCCAUUUUACUGUCAGUUAUGGAACUAAAUAAGAAUACGGGGAAACAUUCAGUUUGUAAAACAUCAUAUUUGUUUAUUCAUAUAAAAUACUGUGUUUUUCCUUCUAUUAGUACUUAAUAAUCUAUAAUGGCAUGAAAAAUGAGAACAAUUAUAUUCUGCCAAUAGUCUUCAUGCGGCAGUUCUGUGAUUUUUUCUUUAAGAUUUCUUAAAAUUUAAUUCAAUUUUACACAGUCAAUACACAGUUUUACGUUAUAAGGUAUAUGAAUACAUUUUGAAGUCAUAUAAUGUAUUGAUCUUGACUAACACGUACAAUUUCAUCUGUCUUAUUAUGUAUUUUAAAUUCAUGUCAAUGUGUUUUUAGACAAAUAAUGAAAUAAACAUGUAAAUAUUU